rnacentral:rRNA from 1 species
UACGUAGGGUGCAAGCGUUGUCCGGAAUUAUUGGGCGUAAAGAGCUCGUAGGCGGUUUGUCGCGUCUGCUGUGAAAACUCGGGGCUUAACCCCGGGCCUGCAGUGGGUACGGGCAGACUAGAGUGCGGUAGGGGAGACUGGAAUUCCUGGUGUAGCGGUGAAAUGCGUAGAUAUCGUGGAGAACACCCGUGGCGAAGGCGGGCUUCUGGCUAAUGACUGACGCUGAGGUGCGAAAGCUAGGGGAGCGAACGGG